GUUCACUGCCGCACAGGCAGCCCAAAAA
rnacentral:other from 1 species